UGGGCAGAGACACCCUUCACUCCACCAGGCUGCUCAGAGCCCCAUCCAAAAUGGCCUUGGACAUUCUCAAGGAUGGGGCAUUCACAAUUUCUCUGGGCAACCUGUUUCAGUGUUUCACCCCCACAGUAUAGAAUUUUUUCUUGAUAUCUCAUCUAAACCUACUCUUUUUCAGGUCGAAGCCAUUCUCCCUUGUCUGCCACUACACGCUCUUGUAAAAAAUCCCUCUGCAUCUUUUUUGCAGGCUCCCUUAAGGUACUGGAAGGCCUCAAUUAAGUCACGCUGAAGCCUUCUCUUUUACAGGCUGAACAAUCCCAACUCUCUCAGCUUCUCCUCCCAGGAAAGGUGCUCUAUCUCCCUAAUUAACUUGGUGGCCCUUGUGCUGGGGACUUCAUCUAGCAGUCCCAGGCAGGGUAAAAGCACACUGCGGGCUGUGCUCAGUGAGAAUAAAAAAAGGGAUUAUGGCAGAGGAGACUCUAAGAAGGGAUUUAAAAGGAGAAAAUAAGGUUAAGUGUGUUGAUGUCUGUCCACAGCUCAUCCUUAACUUCAGUGUAGCAGUGAAUAAAGCUUGCAGAUGCUGUUUUGAGUACCCAGCAGAUGAUGGUCUCAACAGCAGUGCAGCCUUUUAUCCAGCUGACCAUGAGAUGGACUGGUGUUUGCCAUCCUCUUAGCACACCUCUGAAAACACCUGUUUGUUUGGUAAGGCUGCGUUUUACCAAAGAUAUGAUCUCAUUAGGUAAAUUAUUGCCACAUUAGGUAAAUUACUGAAACACUAAGGUAAAAAAUAGAAAACAGCAGCAGACAUCAUCUUCCCAUACAAGGCCUUUUUAACAGUGAUUUACAGAUGAACCACCUUUCAUCAAAGGUUCCAGCAGAGCAUCAGAAGAAAACAAUUUUAGGAACACAACAAUAUCACAAAGUUCAGAAAAUCCUUUCUGCUGUGCUGCACUGUAUUCAUGCAAACCUUAACAACAAAAGAUCUGUUUAAAAUGUGGACUAUCUUUGAUUGUUUUGCUUAGUGAUCUUCACUGUGUCCCUUAAAAACUAGUAAUCAGCACUGGAAGAAAAGCCAGGAGGUAACAUACCAGCUAGCUAUGCAUCACUGUCACAAAUCACCAGGGAUUUGAAAAGCACACCAACUGGGGUCCCAGCAUCCUGCUAACACCAACACUGUGUCAGGUCCAGCCCAGUCUUUCACCCAUUGUGAGGGAUUCCACCAAGCAGAGCCUGGCUCAGGGAGGCCAGCGAUGCUUUCCAGGCUCUUGACAGGCACAGGGAGGACAUUCCUGCUGCCUCCAAGGGAGAUGCUGUGCUCACAUGGACACACAGCUGCUCAGAGAGGAACUCUGUGUGUGUGUGUCAGCCUGAAACUGAACUCCAACCCACAACUGGGCUCUUACACUCGGACUACAGCAUCCUGUAAGGUUUUUAUAAGAUAACUCACUACACAAUAAAAUAAGCCUGCAAAGUGUGCUAAAGAACCAUGUCCUAAGAGCAGCCACCUUCCUGCACUGACUAGAGCUGGACCUUGGGCAAACAGCUCUGGUGCACACAUCCUCUGCCUGAGUGUCCUGAAGAGCACUCCAGGUUGGCCAAGCAGAAAGUGUGUGUAUUCAUGUUUUAGUGCCUUAUCUGGGGUGGGUACUCCUCUGCUGUCAAAAGCCAAGAGUUAUGUUCCUGACAACAGAGAGGACAGGACUAAAUCAAGAAAAGAGUUCAGAAAGGCAGAGAAAUUCAGAUGAGUUUUUGAUGAACAAACCUCAUUAACUGACUGGCUAUCAGCUAUCCAAAUAGAUUAAAAUAAUUAUCAUUAUAGCUGUAGUUUACCAUUCUGGAAAAGUGACAUUUAAAAGUCACUACACAACACUGUUACCUGUAAUGCUAUGCUGUAAAUUUGUUGUUGAAAAUCUACUUGUAAAUACACAGCAACUCUUGAAACUUAUUGGCAGCAUUCAAAAGUACUGGUAAGAGCAAAUAAAAAUGCAUCCAUUUGGGGGAAAUUAGGUAUUCUUAUGACUUCAUGUUCUCAUCAGGUAGCAGGCAUUAAAAAUAUGCCCAUUGCAAUGUGUACAAUAGCCAACAAAAAUGCUGGGUUUGCUACACUUUCUUCAGAUUGAGUCAACUGAAAUUAGGUUUUCAAAUCCAUGAAAGACAAGCAGAGUCAAACAGUCAAACAUGAUGCUUUCCCAAUGCCAUCAUAUGUCAGAAUACUACAUGUGAAAGUUCAUACAUUUGAUUUCCUAGAAGAUACCACUUUUCCCUUCUUGUCAAAACCUUACCAUUUCCCGGGGAAAAAAUACAAAUGUGUGCAUGUUUCAGACAGCCUUACUUGUUAUGGAUGGACUCAGAUUAUGCUGUCCCAGUUGAGUGAUUUAAAAUUGGAUUUAUUGUGAUUCUUCAUGAUUGAAGAGGUCAAAACCUUCCCAAGGGAAAACAACUGUAAGACGUUCUGCAGAGCAGUUUAAGGAGUACAUGUGAACUUCUUAGCUUCACAAGGUUAAUGUGUGUCUUGGUUUCACUGAAAGUAACUCAACCUUCUUAUUAACCACAAGAAACACAGUAAUUUUCACGUCUAUAGAGUAGAAAUGAAUUAUUUUCCUACAUUUUCCCUCUCUCCUCAAAAUAUGCAAAGCAAAUGUUGAAAUUCCCAAUUCAAUAUAUAUCAAAGAAGAAAAAGGUUCAAAGCCAAAUCCUAGAAAGUCAAAAAAUGCCAGAACAAAUUUAGUUCAACUCCCUUGUGCUUAUACAUCAAGAUGAAAUAUUUAAUUACAUGAUGACAUCCUAUUUUUUGACUGCAUUAUCUGUGCUUUAAAGAACAAGAAACAAAUUCCAUAGUGGCCUGAUUGGACCAGAUGUUUAGAUGUUCCUUGCAUUUCAAAUAUAAUAAUUCAGUAGUUAUUUAUCUUAUUGAGAGAGGUAUAAGGUCAGAUUAAAAGUUUCCUAAGAUUAUCUGAUACUUUGAUUUUCUUUCUGUAGAAAAAACAUUAUUGGAAAUAUAUCUUCCACCAGCAAAUCCUGCUUGAUAGUAUGCUGUGAUCUAGUUUUGAAUGAACAAAACCAGAACAAAUCUAAUUUGCCUGAUUUUUUUUUUUCAAACAGGUCUAUCACAAUGACUAACUCAUCAAAAUAUUUCAAAUUGCAUUCUAAAAAUACCAGCUAUUUAUUAUUUUACUCUGCUGUACAGACAUCAGUCUAACACUCAAUCAGAGUAAGUGGUGAUGAAUCAUGCACAUUUUAGGAAUGUCUUGGCUCUCUGAACAGCGUUUGGGUUCUAAAUCUUUAUUGAUAGAAAUAUCUUACUUCCAACAGAAAUUUACAUACAAAUGUGCAAAUCAGGGCUGGAGCAGCAAGCCUGUGUUAUGGCUAAGAGGUGGCUGGGCUUGGCUAGCUGCCUUCAGUGCCUACUUCCACCUUGGCUCGGAUAAUUGGAAUAAAGAUGAAUGAAAAUUUAGGCCUGCAGUUUUAAUAGUAACUAUUUGUUAUUUAAAUUUCCUGUUCCACACUAAAUGAUUGCAAGAAUGUGUGCUCAGAAUUAAAAGGCUGCUCUUUAGCAUCAGCACAUUGAUUUCUUGGGGUCCUUGCAAAGCUUUUCACAUUGUUCCUGGCCUACAGCUUUACACCCCUCUAACUGCCUGUCAGACAUCAUUUCUGCUUUAUGAAUAAAUAAUAUGAUGCCCAGGGGAAAUGUUGGGCUAAGACAAAAAAAUCAAUAUGUGUCUAGCACGUAUUAGGCAGUUGUUCAGCUGAAGUCUGUCUCAAAUAUGCGGAGUAAUUUUAAUAACAAAACAAAUUCUUUCUACACCGAGCUUAAAAUAAGGCUAUUAAGAAAGCACUACUACUAUAUCACUCUGUAUCCUAUUUGAAGAUUAAUAAUACUGUUCUCCUAAAAUGUGAAUAAAUGUUCUGAUUGCAACAGAA